rnacentral:rRNA from 1 species
UACGUAGGUGGCAAGCGUUAUCCGGAAUUAUUGGGCGUAAAGAGCGCGCAGGUGGUUAAUUAAGUCUGAUGUGAAAGCCCACGGCCUAACCGUGGAGGGUCAUUGGAAACUGGUUGACUUGAGUGCAGAAGAGGGAAGUGGAAUUCCAUGUGUAGCGGUGAAAUGCGUAGAGAUAUGGAGGAACACCAGUGGCGAAGGCGGCUUACUGGUCUGCAACUGACACUGAGGCGCGAAAGCGUGGGGAGCAAACAGG